rnacentral:lncRNA from 1 species
GUGAGAACUCUCUUUUGGAAGUGGAUGAAGUAUUGUGUAAAUAUUCCUCAGUUUUAUCAAUACUAAUCUGAAAGCCAAACAUUGGCUUGCACAUUACUGCUUUUCCACGAUGUUCUCCAUUCACAAAUGAGGAAACAGAUGCAGAACCAUGAAACCAUUUGCCCAAGGCUAUAAAGGAGCAUUACGGGAUCUGAGUUUCCUUGCCCCUAGUCCCAUACAUAGACUAGUAGAUCACAGACAACAGUUAGUGAGCAUUAAGUACCUCCCAACACCAAAAAGAGAAGUUGAGGUUGAUAUUCUUACUGUGUGAUCCUUUUUGCUGCAAAUGGGCCCAGGUAGAUAGAAUAGGCUCAGGUUUAGCUGCUUUGAAAACUGUGACAAACUAAGUACAUGAUCAAAAAGAGAGAAAGUGAGAAAGAAAGAGAGAAAGUAAAAGCCCGUUGUCACACACAGGAAAAAUAAUCCAUGUUCUUUUUUGUAACAGACUUGACAGGUCUGUAAUAAGAAAUAUUUCAUUAGUGCUGUAAAGCUCAUUGUCAGCAAAUGUUGUAGAGUAAAAUAAAUGGGAAUUAAAAUUAAUUCUUCAUUAAGUUUUGAUGAAGACUCUGUCCUUGAGCUGUAAAUCCAGGGCAAUUCUGUUCUAGAGAACCAUUAUUAACCUGUGGGCCCUCCUGGUUGUCUGGGAGAUGUAUAUGAUGUACUGCUGACGGAAUAUGUGCUUAUGCAUCCCACUGUUACCAUGCUCAUCUCCAUAGGAACCAUCUGCAUCACAGUCUUGGUGGGUUUCUCAUGCCACUCUGCUGAAAUCAUUGAGACCUGUGCGUGCAAGCCAGAGUUUAAUUUCUUCUACCUCUUCCCAGAACACUUAUCUUCAAGGAUGGGCUUGAAUAUGCCCAGUACAACCAAGAGGGGUGGCAGCAAGAAGAGCCAUGCCCAAGUACUCGAGAGACAGAGAAAAGUGCUCUGAAGCUGAAGGAAAACACUGACUAAAAGAAAAAUUGGUGUAAAAUUGACCAUUAAUAUAUUUAAGCUGGCGAUUAGAAACAAGUUCCAUUAAAUCAACUCCCUGAUGGGGCUGAAAAGAAGAGAGAAAAACUGACUCGAAGAUAGAGCUUGGUACUGUGAAGAGGAGGAUAUGAGGUGCUGCUUUUGAUUACAGGCAGCUCAAUGUGCUGACCCACGAGACCCCUUUCAACCUCACGCUACUGUGUUCUCCAACGCUGUCAUUGCCUUCAUCAUUACAAGUGGAAAUUGAGGGCACUCAGCACUGACUGGUCCUAGAUCCCUGUGCAGCAAAGAGCUCUAAGGCUCAAAUUUGCUUUUCUCAAUUGCUGAAAGUAUUGGCUCAACAGAACCAGAAA